CUCUUCAAGUGGCCUGGGAGCGCGCGCAUGCGCGCUGCUGGGAACCGGCCGGGGUGCCGGGUCGAAAGACAGACGCGCGGGCCGGGCGUGCGCGGGCUUGGUGGAGGGCGGGAAGGCUGAAGGGCGGUGACAGGUCGCACUGCCUCGCGAGGGCCAGAACGCCCAUUUCUGCAGAGGCAGAAGGUGAGGCGUCUACGCCCUCUCUCACCAGAUUUUGGGCGGCCCUGUGGAGACACCCUGUGCCCUUUAAGGGACAUGGAUUGAGUCGGGAUCUCAAAAUCUGCCUUAAUCCAUGUUCCCUUCGGGAUGCUGGUAUCCAACUGAGAAGUUGACGGAGCAUCUAUCGUGUGCCAGACACUGUGCUAAGUGCUAACGAGAAAUCGGUGAGCAAAACAGAAAAGAAAAAAAAAGAAGAAACGACUGCCAGCAUUGAACUUAGUACCUAGCAAAGUAGGUGGACAUAAAUCAAAUUGUCAGACAAGUAAAUGAGUAGUUGCAGCUGUGAUAAGGGGUAUGAAGAAUAGGCGCUUCCAUGAUGGCGGAACAUGACCUAGUCUGGGGUGGAGAAGGGGAGAUGAUUCCAGCUGGAAUAUGGCAGGUGAGAGUUAACUAAUAGCACUGAGUUGGCAGAGGCAGGAUGACCUGCCCCAGGCAGGUGCCCCAGAAUGAGAGGAUGUUGCUGCUGGUGGAACUCCAGCUUUAAAGCGGUGGAUCUAGGGCCACAUUCCUCAAGGCCAUAGCAAACAGGAAAGACCUUUUGGACUAGGGUCUUUGGAGUAGUCACAUGAGGCCAAGAACCCAAUAGGGCUGAAAGAGAAUCUCAUCAUAGGCUGAAUGGGAGCAGAGCAUUAGCUGCAACUCCAAUGUAUUAUAGUAAAAGGGGACACAUUGAUUAGAAUGAUUAUACCCCUCCAAGUGUAAGCUGUUGUUCAAUUUACCCAGGGCUUAAAAAUAUGUCAACUCUUCACAACCAUUUUUACUACAAGCCACACUCAACCUGUGUUGUUCCCUGAACCUGUGAUGCACUUUCAUCCGUUCAUGUCUCUACACAUCCUUCCUGGGCCCCAUAGAGGCCCUGCACCUUAAGGUUUUCAGCUGGAUUCCUAUUAGCUAGUUAUUUUAUCUCAGGUACAGAGAGUUAACUUUGCUCCUCAAUUUUCAGCACAUUGUCAUAUCAGUCCCUACAGGGUCCUUGUUUACAUUAUUUUAUAGUGUUUAUAUUAUUUUUUCCUCAUCUUUCUCGAUCCCCACUCUCAUUCUUCUAGACACAAGCUGCAAUAUGUUCGAUAGAGAUCCUUGAUAAUUUAACACAGAUAAUGUUUUGUUUAUGCCUCUUGCAUUUACAGAGAUGGUAUUGGACUGUAAAUCUCUAUUUCCCACUGUUUUACUCAACAGUCUGUUUUUGAGCUAUACCCACAUUGCUGUGUGUACACCUAGUUUGCUACCGAGUAUGCCAGAAAUUUUAUUCAUACAUAUCCCUACUGAUCGGGCAUCUAGGUUACUGCCAACUCCCUGAAGUCAUACUGUGGUGAAAACCCUUGUGAAUGUCUUUACAAACCUUUGCCAGAACUUAUUUUGUGCUCUUGUAGAACUUUGUGCAUACCCUCUGCUUCCUCAUUACACUGCUUGGCAUAUAGCAGAGACUCAACAAAUGUUGAAUACCUCUACUAUGAUGGUUAGUGUACUAGAAUAAUUUAUUUAUAUUUCUGUUUUCCUUAUUGGAUUAUUAGUACCUUCCAGACAGGGCAAAUGUCUUUUCUAUCUUUGUGUCCCUGGCACAUUAAAAGUGGUUGAUUUCAAGGUAUGUUCAAUGAAUGAAUAAAUACUUAUCUUCACUGCCAGUAC
ensembl:lncRNA FMR1-AS1 FMR1 antisense RNA 1